GCCAGGCACAGAUGAGAAGAAGGAUGUUCAACAACUUCCCUUUGGCAUGUGCCCAAAGAAGGCUUGGGGGGGGGAGAGAAUGUGUUCCUAACAGCCAAUUAUGAUGCACUGCACUUAUAAGCCAAGGCAGGAUGUCACACAGCUGCUACAGGGAAAGACACUCCAUUCUACCAGCAGCUAGUCCAGGGUUAGAUGUGGCACAGAACUGAGCAGAGCUGAAGCAUGACACAAAAGAUGGAAGCAAGAUUUAGAAGACUCACGCAUGUACCAUUCUGGAAUAUAUUUCAGCCAGCAAAGCAGGAUCCAACAAUUGGUUUUUGUUGUGGUAAAGUCAUCAUGAGGUAUCAUGAUGGUAACAGUUAGAAUUUAAUGGUAAGUUUUGGACUUGGAUCAGGGAAAGCUAGAUUCAAACCCAAUUAAGCCAUGCAGCUAACUAUAUAAUCUUGGUGGGUGAGAGACGUCAUCUACCUCAAAGGGUUGAUGGGAAAGCACGUGUAAGUCAUCCUGGAGGGGAAAACAAUGGGAUUUUGUAGAAAAAAUGGAAGUUAGUUCUUAGAAGAUUCUGAGGGUUUUUAUUAAAUAAAAAAGGGGAAAAAAUAUGACUAAUGAAUUUCCAUUGGCAAUUGUAGCUUAGCAAUUUAAAUUUAUACAAUUGGAUAUUGAAAUUGACCCCAAACGUGCAUUCAGACACACAACAAUUUGGCAGUGUAGUGCUGCAUCAUUUAUGAGUAACUGAAAGACUUUCCCAUAACAUCCCAACAGUAUGUAACUUAUGCAAACUGGCCACUACCACCAUAUGACUAAAUAAUUUAAGAUGUGCUUACAUCCAGCAGGAUUUAAAAUUAAGUAUGUCGUUUGAUGAAUAGGGGUGCAUUUUUCAAAGCCCUUUGUAUGCCGAAACAGGAACCUAUAAGAAGAAUAAGAGUUAAUGCUCUUUGGAAGUUUUAUGUAACUAAAAUCCAGCAAAAAUUGAAUUUGGAGCAAGAUCUCAAAGACAAAUGGUGUAGGGCAAAAUGCCAAGAACAGAUGCAUUAAUAAUCCCCAUAAAGCAAUGGUAGCCAACUAAUUUGAGAUAUUAAAGGAAAUCAUGAGUUUAAACUUUCCUAUAUUUCGAAGAUGCAAGGUUCCAUCGAUAAGUGCAGGAAAUAUUAAACUACACCAUUAAUGCACAAGGAGAACAAUAAAAUAUCCAGAGAUCUUAUUUCAGUUCUUUAUUUUUACUUUCGAAAUGGAAUCCAUUAUCUUACGUGAAUGAUUGUAAAGACUUACUGUACCUUUUAGGGAUUCUUUUAUGCUGUUUUUAUAAAUUGCCAAUUGUAAUCAAGUAGUAUGGAUUUGGGUGCAUGACAUCUUUAUUGGACCAAUUUAUACAGAUGAAAAUGUGUGCAGACUUUCUAGUUUCACAGAAACUUUGUUAAGCAAAAUGGAAAAGUACCUGUCUUUUAUAAUAUAUGGGAGGAGACACAAACCUUUCAAAUCUACAAUCUAUUUUAAAAUAAUACUCUUCAACAAGAAUAUAUUAUAGAUGUGAAACACAUACCCCCACCAGCUCAACUAGUAAUUGUCCGUGUUUCUGAACUUGCUUGAUGAGUUCUUACAGAAAACUUCCAUUGUCCCUACCAUCCCAGAAUUCUCUUGAUUCCUAGUGUUGGUGCAUGCAUGCUGCUGGUGCCUUGCUUGUACUUCAGCUGGUGCAAAUGCUGUUGACAGGGUUUGAGCUAGAGCCCAUUCGGUCUGCACUGGCUUCCAGUUUGGUUGUUUGUUUCCUGAGCUUAAUUCAAAGCUCUUAAUGCGGGGCUUGACCUCUUUCCGCAGGGCCUGCAAGACAGAGCUGUUCCACCAGGCCUUUGGCCAGGGCACAGCCUGACUCCCUCCUUUGGCAAUCUUCACAGAACUCUAGCCCAAUGGUUGCCAUUAAUUUGAUUUGAAUUAAUUUUAUAAUGAAAUGAUUUUAGAAUGUUGUAUUUUUUAUUUAUUUAUUUAUAGAAUGUUUUAUUUAUUUAUUUUAUUGUUGUUAGCCGCCCUGAGCCCAGCUUCGGCUGGGGAGGGUGGGAUAUAAAUAAAAAAAAAUUAUUAUUAUUAUUAUUAUUAUUAUUAUUAUUAUUAAUGGUUGGGAUCAGAAUAUUUAAUGGACUACCUUUCCCCACAUUGAAUUUGCCCAUUCACAGAGGAGUCCUGGGACAAGGCUUUUACAUUUGUGGCUUGUGGUGAUCCCUGCCUCAAGAGACCCAAUGGAUCUUCUCCUUACUGGCAUUGCAGCA